rnacentral:rRNA from 1 species
GUCCACGCCCUAAACGAUGUCUACUAGUUGUCGGGUUUUAAUUAACUUGGUAACGCAGCUAACGCGUGAAGUAGACCGCCUGGGGAGUACGGUCGCAAGAUUAAAACUCAAAGGAAUUGACGGGGACCCGCACAAGCGGUGGAUGAUGUGGAUUAAUUCGAUGCAACGCGAAAAAACCUUACCUACCCUUGACAUGUACGGAAGCCACGAGAGAUCGAGGUGUGCUCGAAAGAGAGCCGUAACACAGGUGCUGCAUGGCUGUCGU